AAUGAGAUAGGUGUGUAGUAACACUAGAUUUUUGUAUUGCAGAUUCAUCAAAAUUAGGGGGUUCUACAAGCAUUUACUGAAUUCAUCGAAGAAAAAAAAGAUUGUACUUCAAAGAGCUGCACAAGUAAAGAUGUACUCUCUGCAUACAUCAGAAUUGUCUAUUCUGAUUUGACAUCAAAUGGAGUCUUGGGGUUGAUCUUGGUCUGUGCUUAAACUGAAAUUAUAAGUAAGUG